rnacentral:lncRNA from 1 species
UUAGAUCUUAGUUCUUUUUCAGAUAAGCCUCCCCCACCCUGUUGCUCUCACGUCCAGGUAGGUGAGAAAUAGAGCCACUCAAGUCAGCCUCUUAAUGUUGGCUUUGAAGAACCUCCAUCGAGCUGAGUAUACAUAUUUUGUGUUGUUUUGAGCUUAGGUUUAAUGAUGAGGCCUGUUGGGGAAAUCCGAAAGGAGUAAGAUGCACACAGAAGCAGUUGUUGAGAUGUCACUAAAGUCCUGUGAUGGCAGUGUGUUGAGCCAGAAAUGGAACUUAUUUCAGUUUCCUACUUGAGACAGAAGGAACAAGCAGUCCCUUCUCCUGCUUGUUACUGCUGACUUGAACAAUCUUUAUUAGUAGUAGGAAUGGAGCGGCACUAAUAAUAAAUCAGAGGGAAGACUCAGCCAGGGCGGGGUUUGGAAACAUCUUGCUUAAGACCUUGGAAGUCCAGGAGAUACCAUCAUCUGAGUAGGAACACUGUUUUCAGGGUCCUUAGAGAAUAGACAGACACACAGACACAAGGUCUUUGGAUACAAGGGAAGGACUAGCUGUUCCUUGGGGGUUUCAGACGGUUGGUCUGCAAAAUAAGAGUUACAGGUGUCCAUAGAGCACUUGAGGGUAGAAGACAGAAAAUGCCAAAUAUCAGCAGGAUAUUUCAAAUUUAUAUGCCAAGUAAAAAAUGUCAUGUCCCUGAAGAUGUCACCUGAACUACUCAAAAGGAUUCCAAGAAGUACUAAUUUAACAGGUGUGACUAAGGUAGCUGAGGGGACACUGAAGUGUUUCUCAAGUGUUUCUGCACCUUGGCUGUUGACACUCGUUCUUUGACAGCCUACUGAAGGACCUGGAAGAAAGAACUCAAACAUCUGUAGGGAUAAUUACCCAAAGCUAAUAAUCUAUACAAAACAAAAACAAACCAACCCACAAGCCAUUUUCGUUGUGUGUUCCAGUUAACUUGAGGUACUUAAUGAUGAACCAUUGGCUUGCACUAUGACCUCCUUGAGUGAUGUGCAACUUGGCUCCUCUCUGCUUUUGUUUCGUUUUAAUAUGCAGAAGUGAGUGUGUGAUCUUCAGUGUGUUUGCAUAAGCUAACCUAAAAUGAAUUUAACAACAGUUUUCUGAAAUAUUUCUAUCGAAAUAAAUGACUUAAAAG